CGGAGGGUGCGAGCGUUGUCCGGAAUCACUGGGCGUAAAGGGCGCGUAGGCGGCGCGGGUAGUCAUCGGUGAAAGCUCAGGGCUCAACUCUGAGUCGGCCGGUGAUACUCCCGUGCUCGAGCACUGUAGAGGCAGGUGGAAUUCCGGGUGUAGCGGUGGAAUGCGUAGAGAUCCGGAAGAACACCGGUGGCGAAGGCGGCCUGCUGGGCAGUAGCUGACGCUGAUGCGCGACAGCGUGGGGAGCAAACAGGAUUAGAUACCCUGGUAGUCCACGCCGUAAACGAUGGGCACUAGGUGCUUGGGGGAGCGACUCUCUGAGUGCCGGCGCUAACGCAUUAAGUGCCCCGCCUGGGGAGUACGGCCGCAAGGCUG
rnacentral:rRNA from 1 species